rnacentral:rRNA from 1 species
GGGUCAGUAGGUUGGUCGUGCCACCGGUACGUACUGGUCUCACUGGUUCCUCCUUCCUGAAGAACCGUAAUGCCAUUAAUUUGGUGUUGCGGGGAAACAGGACUGUUACUUUGAAAAAAUUAGAGUGUUUAAAGCAAGCUAACGCUUGAAUACAUUAGCAUGGAAUAAUGAAAUAGGACGAUCGAUCCUACUUUGCUGGUUUCUAGGAUUGACGUA